rnacentral:rRNA from 1 species
GUACGGCCGCAAGGUUAAAACUCAAAGGAAUUGACGGGACCGCACAAGCGGUGGAUGAUGUGGAUUAAUUCGAUGCAACGCGAAAAACCUUACCUACCCUUGACAUGUCCAGAAGCUCUUAGAGAUUUGAGUGUGCCCGAAAGGGAGCUGGAACACAGGUGCUGCAUGGCUGUCGUCAGCUCGUGUCGUGAGAUGUUGGGUUAAGUCCCGCAACGAGCGCAACCCUUGUCGUUAAUUGCCAUCAUUUAGUUGGGCACUUUAACGAGACUGCCGGUGACAAAACCGGAGGAAGGUGGGGAUGACGUCAAGUCCUCAUGGCCCUUAUGGGUAGGGCUUCACACGUCAUACAAUGGUCGGUACAGAGGGUUGCCAAGCCGCGAGGUGGAGCCAAUCCCAGAAAGCCGAUCGUAGUCCGGAUUGCAGGCUGCAACUCGCCUGCAUGAAGUCGGAAUCGCUAGUAAUCGCGGAUCAGCAUGUCGCGGUGAAUACGUUCCCGGGUCG